GGAACGGUGCCCGAGUGGUUGAAGGGGUACGCCUGGAAAGCGUAUGUACGGGUCACCGUACCGAGGGUUCGAAUCCCUCCCGUUCCGCCA
rnacentral:tRNA from 1 species